AGGAUACUCCCUCCGUCCGGAAAUACUUGUCAUCAAAAUGAAUAAAAGGGGAUGUAUCUAGAUGUAUUUUAGUUCUAGAUACAUCCCUUUUUGUCCAUUUUGAUGACAAGUAUUUUCGGACGGAGGGAGUACUUG
rnacentral:pre_miRNA from 1 species